rnacentral:rRNA from 1 species
AAUAGAUACCCAGGUAGUCCACGCCGUAAACGAUGAGUGCUAAGUGUUAGAGGGUUUCCGCCCUUUAGUGCUGCAGCUAACGCAUUAAGCACUCCGCCUGGGGAGUACGGCCGCAAGGCUGGAACUCAAAGGAAUUGACGGGGGCCCGCACAAGCGGUGGAGCAUGUGGUUUAAUUCGAAGCAACGCGAAGAACCUUACCAGGUCUUGACAUCCUCUGCCAACCCUAGAGAUAGGGCGUUCCCCUUCGGGGGACAGAGUGACAGGUGGUGUAUGGUUGUCGUCAGCUCGUGUCGUGAGAUGUUGGGUUAAGUCCCGCAACGAGCGCAACCCUUGAUCUUAGUUGCCAGCAUUCAGUUGGGCACUCUAAGGUGACUGCCGGUGACAAACCGGAGGAAGGUGGGGAUGACGUCAAAUCAUCAUGCCCCUUAUGACCUGGGCUACACACGUGCUACAAUGGGUAUAACAACGGGAAGCAAGCCAGCGAUGGUGAGCAAAUCCCUAAAAAAUACUCCCAGUUCAGAUUGCUCU